CUGCUGAAGUGAGCGCGGGAUGUUUUCAGCAUUCUUAUAAAUAUCCAAGAGGCAGUCUAUCAAUGUAAAUCUUUGAAGAUUAUAUUGGGGACAGUCAAAGAAAAUGUGAUCAAGAGUUUGGAUGGAUAAAUAACAGAAUUGACAAGUUGGAGAAUCUAAAACACCGAUCCUAAAUAAAUGAGCACCACUACGAGAAUGUCCCAGACGUAACCGACAAAUUGUGGUGUAAAAUUUUCUGUGGACAUUUAAGGAUAGAAGAAUGGAUGAUAAUUGUUCUAAAUCAACAUUAUUAAAUGCUCCUACAACAUCCAAAAAAACACCAGCCAAUAUCUUAUUAAUAAAUGCCGUAUACUCUCACAAGCAGAACAACCACAUCGAAAUCCAAAUUGAUUAUUAGAUUACUGUGUGGAGGAAUGUUGGAUGGAAUUGAAGAAGAUUCAGUUUCCGACACUACCAUGGAAAAUUUUGUGAUUGUAGAUAAGUGAUAGCUGCCCAAAGAGUCCUGAUGAACUUGCCAUUCACAGCACAGGAAUAAUGAAGAUGAUACUAUUGUUAGAUCUAGUCCAUUUGGUCUCCAAGAAUUAGUACCCACUGUAGUUGGUUAAUCAUUAUUUAAGAGCAUUAAGUCAUUAUCGUCCAUUACAUCCAUGAUGUCUCUACCUCUAGAAUUGGUUCUACAAUUGGUUACAACCCCAAAUGGUAUGGUGAGCAUUAAAAUCACCAGCAAUUAUUAGUGGUUUUGGAAUACUAUGCAAGUCUAUUAAAUUUAGAUUUGUCAAAGUUAGGUACACUGUUGCCAGGACUAUAAAAGCUAACAAUUGAUAUGUCUUUUUGUUUGUAUUUAAUUUUGAUUGCUACAUUUUGCAAGGAGUUAUCAGAAAAUGUUUCUAACUUUUGAAAAUAAAUGCCAUUUCUAACAAAAAUUGCUACACCAUUGUGAUCAUUACCACAAUCAUUUCUUAGUAUUGUAUCAACAGACUUUGAGCAUUCCGCUGUACUAUGUUAAGUUUGUGACAGUUGAAUGUGACGUUUUAUUUUUAAUUUGUAUGGUAUCUUUAAUAGCUGAACUAAUUGCGUGUGAGCUAAUGCUUUGAUUCUGUGUUUUAUUUAGUGUAAUGACUUUGAUUAUUGAUUCUGUGAUUAGGUUCAUUGCUGCUGGAUUGGAUAAAAUUAAAUUAAUGAUGUCUUGUGUGUUCUCUGUCUUAUUGAGUGAUGGAAAGUUUGUUGGAUGUUUAAAUAAAUCUGAUAAUGGUGUUUUA